rnacentral:antisense_RNA from 1 species
ACAGGUACGUGGGCGGGCGGAUCGUGGUGGCUGCGCUUGCGAGCACCCUGAGGUAGAUUGGGUGGUUUCAGCAGGAACGCAUCCACUGUCUGAGAGUUUAAACUUGAUUUUGUGAGGGGACGAACAGCGUGACAAUUAAAGAAGAUCUAGGAAUCAAAAGCUUCCUGAGGCCUUCACCAGAAGCAGAUGCUGGUGCCGUGCUUCUACAGCCUGCAGAACUAAGAGAAGACAUGGAGAAGAGGAGGGAGUAGUUGUGACCGUGGAGGCAGAGAAUGGAGUAAUGUGAUCAUAAAUCAAGGAAUGCUGACAGCCACUAAAGCUGGAGAAGGCCAAGGACAGAUAUUCAAUCCUCCCGUAGAAGUACAGCCCUGCUAAUGCAUUGAUUUUGGACUUCUGGCCUCAGAACUAUUUAUAUAUCAGCUUUGUAUCAGUUGAAAUAAACCACCCUGGGCAGUGGCUCACACCUGUAAUCCCAGCACUUUGGGAGGCCGAGGUCUGCAAAGCAUGGAAAUUUGUAUCUUCAUUCACUUUUGUUUUCAUGGACUCUUUUCAUGUUUGAACUUCUCAUGAUCCAAUGUGAUAAUUUAUGUGAAAUCUUUCUGCAAACUAUACAGUAUGAUAAAAAUAUAAGGUAGUUUCACUGGAAACAACAGAAGACUAGAAGCUGAUGUGACGUGGCAAUAUCAACCAGGAAUACCCAUCUCGAGUUCUGGAUAUGUGCUCUGAGAAGGUGCCCAUGUCACCGACCACACUGGAGGCCAAUGCAGAUACUGGGGGAAGGUUCCAUGGUAGCUAAGUGUGGACAAGCUAAUCACUGAAGUUCCCUGAUGCAGAGCUGAUAAUCUCUCUAGAGUUGGAUGAAAGACUGUGCUGCCUUGAAGCUCUGAGAGAUGCCAUGCCAAUUCAAGGCAGGGUCUUUAUUGUUGAAACUCUUGCGUAAUGACAUCUUUAUUCAGGUGAAAAUACAGGAUGAAUUUCAACUGUAUGAUAUUGUUUAUGUUCAUCAGACAUGUUAUUUGUCUUUACAAACAUUGGUUUCAAUAAACUGGCUGUGUGACUGAUAUUAAAUAAACAUGGAAUUUUACACAUUCAUAAUA